rnacentral:misc_RNA from 1 species
CCAAGUCAGGGUACAAUUU